rnacentral:rRNA from 1 species
AUUGAACGCUGGCGGCAGGCUUAACACAUGCAAGUCGAGCGAGCGGCGGACGGGUGAGUAAUGUCUGGGAAACUGCCUGAUGGAGGGGGAUAACUACUGGAAACGGUAGCUAAUACCGCAUACCAUCAGAUGUGCCCAGAUGGGAUUUGCUAGUGGGUGGGGGAAUGGCUCACCAAGGCGACGAUCCCUAGCUGGUCUGAGAGGAUGACCAGCCAGUCUGGAAAGGAUACACUGUCCGAACUCAUAGGGGAGGCAGCAGUGGGUAAUAUUGCACAAUGGGCGCAAGCCGGAUGCAGCCAUGCCGCGUGUGUGAAGAAGGCCUUCGGGUUGUAAAGCACUUUCAGCGAGGAGGCGUUACUCGCAGAAGAAGCACCGGCUAACUCCGUGCCAGCAGCCGCGGUAAUAC